rnacentral:rRNA from 1 species
AUUGAACGCUGGCGGCAGGCCUAACACAUGCAAGUCGAACGAGUGGCGGACGGGUGAGUAAUGUCUGGGAAACUGCCCGAUGGAGGGGGAUAACUACUGGAAACGGUAGCUAAUACCGCAUACCAUCGGAUGUGCCCAGAUGGGAUUAGCUUGUAGGUGAGGUAACGGCUCACCUAGGCGACGAGCCCUAGCUGGUCGGGGAGGAUGACCAGCCCCACGGGAACGGAGCCACGGUCCAGACGCCUACGGGAGGCAGCAGUGGAGAAGAUGGCACAAUGGGCGCAAUCCUGAUGCAGCCAUGCCGCGUGGAGGGAGAAGGCCUUCGGGUUGUAAAGUACUUGCAGCGGGGAGGCGUUACCCGCAGAAGAAGCACCGGCUAACUCCGUGCCAGCAGCCGCGGUAAUUC